GGUGCUAACCAGCAAACGAGUUUUGCUGCGGAUUUGUCGACGAAGGAAGUUGCUGCUAGCUGUUGUUGGGAUUUGCUGCUGUUGUUGCAACUUGCUGCUGCUGUUGUUGCUUUUCGGAAGUUUCUUGCACAUUUUACGUUUACUGGAGACUUGGGCUAAUCGUGUUUUCUUCAGGUGCUGUUGGGGAGCAAAGUCGUUUUGGCUCAUAAGCGCCAGUUGAAGACUUUACCCGUUUCUCGCCGGAAAGCAACCAAGGCUUUAGUUUUCCAAGGAGAGAACAGCAAUCGUCGCAGAGAUCAUGGAGUUUCACCACAUCAAAGCAGUAUUGACCGUCUCGUUGAUCAAGAAACCGCACCACAACAAAGCAGUACCCUCGAGUGUGCAAACAACAGCAUCAGAACCGGAGGAAGAAAGCAUAGCGAAGUCGAAGAAGUUUUGUCGGAUUCGAGUUCUGAUUUUUAUGGAUUUGUCGAGGAGUCCUUCAUUUUCACAGAAGAAGAAAAAAAAACCGGUAAAAGGAAGCAUAGCGACAGCGAAGGAGAUUUGUCGGGCUCUAGUUCCGAUUUUUACGGUUUCGCCGCUGAUUCUUCUAUCUGCACCAGCGAGGAGAACUGCAUUCCAUCGACUUCAAAGGGUCAAAAUACAAAAAAUGUGCGUCGUUCGAAAAGAAAGCUGAAGAAGAUUAAGAAAGAUGAUUUUGUUUAUUAUUAAGAAUGCAAACAGUGUUAUUACGUAUUGAAUUGGUAAAAUUAAGAGCAUCAUUAUGCUAUCGAAUUUUAUAAUGGAUUGUAUAAUAAGUGUGAGAUGUGAUAAUUGAAAGUUUGAAAUAAUAAGCAUUCGAAGGUGAUUAGAAUAAGGUCUCAAGGGAUAAGGAGUUGUGACGGCCAACAGCCGGCGGGAAAACGGACGAACCCUUUCUUGUGAGUGCCAGGGCGAAGAGAGCACGAGUGAGAGAUAAAGCCGAAGACUAGGGAGUCUGAGCGUUGUAUGUAAAAGAGGUGAAAUAUAGAUUCAUUCGUUUUGUGACUGAA